GACGUAGGGUGCGAGCGUUGUCCGGAUUUAUUGGGCGUAAAGGGCGCGUAGGCGGCCUGUUAAGUCGAACGUGAAAUCCCCGGGCUCAACCCGGGAACUGCGUCCGAUACUGGCAGGCUUGAAUACGGGAGAGGGAUGCGGAAUUCCAGGUGUAGCGGUGAAAUGCGUAGAUAUCUGGAGGAACACCGGUGGCGAAGGCGGCAUCCUGGACCGGCAUUGACGCUGAGGCGCGAAAGCCAGGGGAGCAAACGGG
rnacentral:rRNA from 1 species